UACGUAGGGUGCGAGCGUUGUCCGGAAUUAUUGGGCGUAAAGGGCUCGUAGGCGGUCUGUCGCGUCGGGAGUGAAAACUCAGGGCUUAACCCUGAGCCUGCUUCCGAUACGGGCAGACUAGAGGUAUGCAGGGGAGAACGGAAUUCCUGGUGUAGCGGUGAAAUGCGCAGAUAUCAGGAGGAACACCGGUGGCGAAGGCGGUUCUCUGGGACGGUACUGACGCUGAGACGCGAAAGCGUGGGGAGCGAACAGG
rnacentral:rRNA from 1 species